CCUGGUUGAUCCUGCCGGUAGUCAUAUGCUUGUCUCAAAGAUUAAGCCAUGCAUGUGUAAGUAUGAACUAUUUCAGACUGUGAAACUGCGAAUGGCUCAUUAAAUCAGUUGUAGUUUGUUUGAUGGUGCGUGCUACUGGGAUAACGUAGUAAUUCUAGAGCUAAUACGUGCAACAAACCCGACUUCGGAAGGAUGCAUUUAUUAGAUAAAAAAAAAAAGGGCGUGGGCUUUGCCCAUUGCUCGAUGAUUCAUGAUAACUUCGACGGAUGCGCGCGGCCCUCGUGCGGCGGCGCAUCAUUCAAAUUUCUGCCCUAUCAACUUUCGAUGGUAGGAUAGGGGCCUACCAUGGUGGUGGCGGGUGGCGGAGAAUUAAGGUUGAUUCGGAGAGGGAGCCUGAAAGCGGCUGCCACAUCAAGGAAGGCAGCGGUAGCGCGCAAAUUACCCAAUCGACCACGGGGAGGUAGUGACAAUAAAUAACAAUACCGGGCUCUUGAGUGCGGUAAUGGAAUAGUACAAUCUAAAUCCCUUAACGAGGAUCCAUUGGAGGGCAAGUCUGGUGCCAGCGGCAGCGGUAAUUCCACUCAAUAGCGUAUAUUUAAGUUGUUGCAGUUAAAAAGUUAAAGUUGUUGGGCCGGGUGGUCGGUCCUUCCGUGGUGUGCACGGUCGUCCCAUCCCUUCUGUCGGCGUCGUGCCUGGCCUUAACUGGCGGGUCGUGCCUCCUCGGCUGUUACUGAAGAAAUUAGAGUGCUCAAAAGCAAGCCCGCGCUCUGGAAACAUAAGCAUGGGAUAACAUCACAGGAUUUCGGUCCUAUUGUGUUGGCCUUGGGGAUGGAGUAAUGAUUAAGAGGGACGAUCGGGGGGCAUUCGUAUUUCAUAGUCAGAGGUGAAAUUCUUGAAUUUCUGAAAAACGAACCACUGCUGAAAGCAUUUGCCAAGGAUGUUUUCAUUAAUCAAAGCGAAAGUUGGGGGCUCGAAAACGAUCGAAUCUUAUCCUAGUCUCAACCAUAAAACGAUGCCGACCAGGGGAUCGGCGGAUGUUACUCUUAGGACUCCGCCGGCACCUUAUGAAAAUCAAAGUCUUUGGGUUCGGGGGGGGUAUAAUGGUCGCAGGCUGAAACUUAAAGGAAUUGGAAGAAGGGCACCACCGGGAGUGGAGCCUGCGGCUUAAUUUGACUCAACAGGGGAAACUUACCAGGUCCAGACAUAGCAAGGAUUGACAGACUGAGAAACUCUUUCUUGAUUCUAUGGGUGGUGGUGCAUGGCGUUCUUAGUUGGUGGGCGAUUUGUGCGGAUAAUUCCGAUAGCGAAAGCGAGACCUCAGCCUGCUAACUAGCUUCUGGCGGAGGCAUCCCUCAGCGACCAGCUCUAGAGGGACUAUGGCGUUUAGGCCCGCGGAAGUUGAGGCAAUAACAGGUCUGUGAUGCCCUUAGAUGUUUUGGGCGCCGCCUUCUGCGAUGUAUUCAGCGAGUCUAUAGCCUUGGCCGGCGGGCCGGGUAAUCUUUGAAAAUUUCAUCAUGAUGGGGAUAGAUCAUUACAAUUGUUGGUCUUCAACGAGGAAUUCCUAGUAGUAAGCGAGUCAUCAGCUUCGGCGUUGACUUCGUCCCCUGCCCUUUGUACACACGCCCGUCACUCCUACCGAUUGAAUGGUCGGUGUAGUGUUGGGAUCGGCGGCGAGGGCGGUUCGCCGCUGUGACAUCGCGAAGUCCACUGAACCUUAUCAUUUAGAGGAAGGAGAAGUUAAAUAACAAAGUUUCCGUAGGUGAACCUGCGGAAG
rnacentral:rRNA from 1 species